AUUUGUGAAAAAUGACUUGACAUCUUUAGCAACAUUUUCCCAGUAUUCUCUUGCCCUUUUAGAUUUGAGAAGCCCAGCAACCACAACAAUAGUUAGUGGUAACCCUUGACAUUUCUGUGCAAUUUGCUUCCCAAUAGUCUCGAACUCAGAUGGUAAUGCUUCAUUUGCAAAUGCUAUACUUUUAAAAAGGUUCCAACACUCAUCCGAACCCAUUAAAUCCAUCUGCAAAGAAAGAUUCUCUGUACCAGCAUCGUGAGCUACUUCAGUGUUACGGGUCGUCAAUAAUAUUCCACUCCCCUCUUUUUCACUUGGAAAACAUAGUCUCACACAUCUUGCUGGAAUUUUAGCAAAGAGGUACUUCAUAUGUGCCUGUACAGCUUCUUGAUAAUAGUCCAUGGGGGUACAUUCAGUAUUUUUGCUUCUAGGGAACACACAUCUUGCUGGAAUUUUAGCAAAGAGGUUUAGUUGUUUAUUUUUCUUUAUCAAGAAAAACUAAACUGUAUGACUAUGACCGGGGAGGGUAGAGUGUAUGCGAACUUUACCCCUACCCUAGAGGUAGAAAGGUUGUUUCUGAUAGACGAGGAAAAAACAAAUGUGAAAUAAUAACAAAGCAUGCUGAAUAGUAACUAAAAAAAUGGGUGCGCAGAUACGACUUAUAUAAAUGCUUGCAUUUGAAGUUUAUGACAAAAGAAAAUAAACUUGUAUGGAGAAAAAGAGAACAGAACGAAUGCAGUGUCCCGAUCUAUCCAUAAUCUCACAAAUUUCUUCACUGAAAUCUCACUGUCAUAUUUGAAAAAUUCCGAAAAAAAAGAAGGCAUGUAAACGUUGUUCAUCAGGAUCAUCUAUUGCAAAUUACUUUAUAUCUUCAGCAAUGUAGUACCUCUUAUCAUUUAAACCUUUUGGUAUCAUAUCUGCUAGCUUUGCCGCUAACGGAACAUCAACAGUAAAAAGUAACACAUGAGAAUCACCAUAUAAAUGCACAUUUCCGUUCAUCUAAUAAAUAAUGCUACCAACUAAAAUGAGUGUGCGAUCGUGUUAACCAUUGAGGGCUCAUGAACUCAGAACUUCAGUAAUGCCCAACUGAGUAAUGUUACUAAAGAUUGUAUCAACGCAAAUAUAUAUUACAAUGCAUAAGGGAUCACAUCUCCUCGGAAGCCACACGUUGCUUGAAACCGAUAAUUUAGUGGUAAUUUACGACAGAGGAACCGAAAUGAAAUCCCAAGAGUUCAAUCCUUGAACUCCUCAAAAAUAUUCUUCCAAAUCAUAAUCACUCUCCUCGACUGAAAAGAAACAAUAAAGGGUCAGUAGAAGUUCGACAAGUCAAAUUAUUCAGAUGCAGAUUUAGAGCGUGUUCAACGAAACUCACAUCUUUCAACUCAACUUCAUGUGAGAACACACAUACACACACUGACAGACACAAGUAUAUGAUAAUCAUUUAAAAAGUGUGACAAAUUUUUUGCAUCUGCCGACUCUAUAUUAUGGAUCGUCAAUAAAGCAUCUUGAGCAAAUCAUACGGGGAUAUGUGAGAUGUAAUCGACUUGAGUUCUUUCUCUUUGACUAAGAAAAGUUUUAACUGAGGAUUCUGCAUUCAGUUUCAGAAAGUUUAUGCAAUCUGAUAUAUAAUAUUGCACUUAUCAGCUAAAAAGGAUGUCAAAAAUACGUUAAAAUUUAGUUCAGGCGGAUAAUAGGACCCCGUGAAGUUGGAGCAAAUUUAUUAUCAUGUACUAAUUUUGUUUUUUUUGCUAAUAUCACUAGUUAUUUUGGUUAUUGUAAAAGAAAAGAACUUUUUGAGACUAGAACUUGGUAACUGUUUAUUAACUAUUCAGCAGUAUGUAUCAUUUACACAAGCAAUGAAUAUGAAUAAAUAUUUUGUUCGUACAUUAGUUCAUUUAAGUAGAUAAAUAUUAUUUCAUAUUUAUUUUUGCAAUAGUGUCUAUGAAUAUAAUUAUGAACACAUUAAAUAUGCGACCUAAAAUACAAUAUCUUUAGUAAAUAGAGUUACUAGAAGAAAACAACAAAACAAAAUAAAGUUACUUAUAAUGAAAUAAAUAAAUUUAAUUUUUUUUGGAUGGGAGAUACUUUGAAGGAGCCGGGAACAAAGCUGAAAGAUUUAUUGAAAGUUGGAAAUGGUGGCCAGCUAACAAUAUUUAAAAAUUUAUACAUGGUAUUUAGCUUCUUGAUAUUUCAAUUAUUUCAUAAAAAAGUUGAUUCCAAGUAAACCUUAUUUUACUAGAAUUUAUACAAUCGAUACCUUAAAAUUCGUGUGCAAUGGCAACAAAGAGAGCAAACAUCUACUCUUCAUUUUUCAUUUUGUUUUUAUUGUAAUUUAAUGACAAGGUUGGACAUUAGCUGCCCAAACAACCCAUUUGCCACUCCUAUGAGUAACAAUUAGAACAAAUGUGCUCACAUUUAGUACCAAAAUUGCUCAAAAAUAUAUUUAUGGGGCCAUUUUGAACUACCCUCAAAUAUAAAGGAUAUUCUUGUUAAUUUCUCUUAUAUUUUAAGAUUUUAACCAAAUUUUGUCAAAGUUACUUUUGUGAAAGAAUAUGGGGCAAAACUAAAUAACUUUUGUGUACGACUUGACUUGUGGAAAUGAGAAAUAGGGUGUGACCUUGAUAAAUACUAUACACUUACAUGGAUCAUAGAUACGAACAUCCACGGGGUUGUUUCCGAUGUCUUCUUGUUCUUUUUGAAUUUGUGCAGCAGAUUCCCCAAGUCCGGGAAGACACCAAUUUAACUCAAUCAGUUGUAGUGAGUGGAUUUCUGCAAACUCAAUGGGUAUCUUAUCUAAAUAAUAGCAACAUCUAAGCCCAAGGCGCUCAAGGACAGAAAAAUUGUCAUCUGUGGCUUUCCAGUACUUGAGAUCAUUAUGUUCAAUUAACAAAAGCUUCAAUCGAUAAAAUCCCAUGCCCGUUGGACGCCAUUCUUCUCCAUCACAAGCACCAGACAUCAGCUUGAGCACCUCAAGGCAGCUAUGAUGUCCAAGUACGACCAACUUAGAUAAGUACUUUUUAACUUCAGCGCGUUGAUGGAAAAGCUUUUGCACUUGCUGGCCAAAAUCCUCCAAAACGAUAUGUAAGACUCAAUGUUUCAAGUUGCUGCAGAUGGACAAGAUUGUUGAGAAGCCCACCAGAAGAGUCAAUCUGAUAUGCACUGAGCCCUAAUUCUUUGACAUUCUGAAUCCUCAUAAUAAACUCCUUCGUGCAACAACAUGCAGACAUGGAAUAAAUAGUUUGUAUGUUUGAAAAACCCAUGUGACUCCCUUUGUCAGCAGAUACGCUUGGGGAAUUUGGCAGAUAAAAUUCGGGCAGUUUGAGAUGCCUUAAUUGCAUUAGUCCCAAAAUUUCCUCAGGAAAAGUUAUUUUCCAUAGCAUAGGCCCUUGAACAAUGAAUGUAUGCAGAUUCCAUAACCUGCAAACUUCUGGAGGUAUAUUUGCAACAUUUUCCCAGUCUUCUAUUGCCCUUUUAGAUUUGAGAAGCCCAGCAACCACAGCAAUAGUUAGUGGUAACCCGUGACAUUUCUCUGCAAUUUGCUUCCCAAUAGUCUCGAACUCAGAUGGUAAUGCUUCAUUUGCAAAUGCAACACUUUUAAAAAGGUUCCAACUCUCAUCCGGACCCAUUAAAUCCAUCUGCAAAGAAAGAUUCUCUGUACCAGCAUC
rnacentral:lncRNA from 1 species